CGGAAAGGGACCCUUUCCCCCGGAAGGAGAGGGAAGUUGAGAGGAAGAUCAGAUACGGAAUAGAUGGAAGGCCUGGGGAUCACUAAACAAGAUUUAUCAGCAGAUUGCAGGUGCACACAGCCUUGAGCUCAGCCUGUUGAGACUGCCCUAGCGUUACAUAGGCAGCAGUGCCCAGGACUAGACUCGAGAUCAGGGAAAGAAGUGUCAGCACAUCAGCCUGCCACCAAUUACAUGAACCACAGAUUACACCAAAUACAGGUGCCUGAAUGCCAGAUUCAGCCAACUGAGGCACGAGUGGUAGAAGACGGCACAGAAAUUAAGAAGGAAAGACAUCAGAAAGGUCUAAUAUAUAUUUGCCUUUUAAGUCUUUUGUACAUCUUUGGAGAAAGAAGGACAGCACCAGUAAAUCACCUCGACAUGGAGUGCUGAGCUCUGGACAAGCAGCCCGAAUUUGAUAUUUCAAAAGAAGCCAGCAUGGAAAAAUUAGAACUGCAAAUAAUGAAAAAAGGCCCCAGCACAAGACAGAAAACACCCUGAGUUCUGCUUCUGGCAGUCACCCUUUCCAGUUCUACGGCUGUGGGUGGCGGCAGGACUUCUUGCCAUCCAUGUGGAAGGAAUAUAAAUGGGGGAUGAUCUUGGCCCUCUCCCGGCCUUGGAAAGGAGUACACAAUGGCCCAGUGUCUCAGUGAAAGAUCCCCAUCAAGGGCAUAUUGUUCCAAGUGCU